CUAACAAUGAUCCUACCACGAGACCAGCCACAGACCCGCGGGUCUCCCAGGGGAUGCUGAAAUAAGAUUUCUAAUGGAACUGGAGUGGGUCGUAAGAUCAUAUCCAUUUUUACUGCGUCUUCCAGAAAGAAAGAGCCAACAUCUACUCCUACUAGCUGGAGGGUCCUUGCUUGUGGCUCACGGCUCUGACUGGACCAUAUGUCCAUCUCCGAACUCAUCAUCGUGGAGGCCAGGUGGCAUGGCACGUGUCAAGGUGAGGCUGGUUGCCCUGAGGAAAUCCAGGACAUUGGACCAGAAGAAGGAGGAAGGUAUUGAGCUAGCUGAAGCUCCACCGUGUCCAGGUCUAUUCCCCCCACGGCCUGUGAGAUCCCUGAGAGCUAGAAUGGUGGCCUUUCCUUUUCUGUAUUCCAGCACCUGGCCCAGGACCUAACACAUACUAAACGCUGAGUCGCUGUUUGUUGAAUGACUAGAUGAGCGUGUGGCUGAAUGGAACAGGAAUCAGCACACAUUGUCUAAAGGGCCAGAUAACCAAUAUUUCUGGCUUCGCAGCUCUUGAUGUGGUGGCAGAAAACGGCCACAGGCAAUACAAGCAGAUGGAUGUGGCUGUGUUCUAAUAAAACUUUAUGCGCACUGAAAUCUGGGCAUCACGUAAACUUCACGUGUCACCAACUAUGCCACACUCACCAGGGUGCAAAAGGAGGCGGCACAAGCUUGAGUUUGCUGCCUCCUGGCAGAGAGUACUGCUGGUCAGGAGGCUGCAAAAUAACCCACCUCGAGUGUCACAUCAUCCAUCAGUUCCACACCAAGCCGACUUUGUGCGGGGCCCGUUGUUGUGCCAUAAACAUGUGAAAAGGUAACAUUUAAUUUAGGUCCAGCAUCUGGAGCCCGCGGAGCCCUCAUCGGGCUGUAUUUACAUUUCUGCGUUCCACACCAGUGCCUCUAAAAUUGUUAAACCGUGUCGUCGUUGCGGCUUUAUUAAACCUGCACGUUGCAGCCAAGCUUGACGAAGGCAGGAGCAGAGUUUCGGCGGGUCCAGCGGAUUUGCCGGGCGGGAUCCUGCUCCCUCCCAGGCGCUGCAGGAAGCCGAGGCUGUCCCGGCCCCGGGGCCCUGGAGCAGGCGCCCGGCGCCCACCAAUUGUGUCUCUAAUCAACUGCCUC